AGCGUUGUCCCUUCAGGAACAGAAGAUCUUGUGUGGUGAGGGUCUCAGCCUCUCCAUAACCAAUGUCAAGGUCGGAUCUGCCCUUGUGGAUCUGGUGAUGACUGCAGGAGGUCCUUCAGCUGCAACACAGGAAACUUUGAAAAAUAGAGCUUGGUCAUCUAUAAACCUGUAAUUAUAGCACACACCUGGGGCCACAGACAGAGGAGAUCAUAGAGACAGAGCGAGCCUGUGGCCUCCGCACCAGGAGUGUGGACAGAGGCUCCGCUGACAGAGAAGGAGCUGGGGACAUGGUUACUCCUCUCUUGAGAUGAACUUGAAAGGCACUCCUCUGAGGAGCUCCCGAAAUGUCCCACAGGUACUAAAGCCAGACUCACCUGCACCCUGGGAAACACGAAAAGAGAGGUCGGACACAGGAAGAGGGAGAAGCAGUGUCCCUGCAGGGAGCGCGAUGUGGGACUGGAUCCAAGGGCCCAAGGAUCAUGCCCUGAGACAAAGGCAGAUGCUCAUCCACCAAGCGACUCAGGAAUCCCAACAAAAACUUUAAAAACAAAAAUCUUGGAUUUCCUCCUCUUGUCUCUCCUUUACUACACACACUACAUGUUUCACAUAUCAUACUAUUGUCUUUUUUUUAAU